AUGACUGGAAGGCCACUGACAGCUGCCUACAUGCUUCUAUGUUUCAUCUUAAUACAUGCGGCCUUGCUGAUAGUGCUUGUUCUCACUAUGGCUACCUACGAGAAUCCUACAUACGGGUACUAUAAGUACUCAGGAUAUGCCGUGGCUGCCGGAUGGUGUAUAGCUCUGGUGUCAGUUGUCCCUAUUCCUAUAACCAUGGUGAUGACAAUUGUCAAAAGAAACGGAUCUCUUAUCAAGCGAGUGAAAGCCUCCAUGUCUCCAGCACCUCUCUGGCAGAAGUUAAGAGAGCGUCAUGGUCUCGAAGAGCGAACAGAUGCAAACACC